UUGGCAAAAACAGACUGUCGCCGCGUAGCAAUGCGCGGAGGAAAGUCGGGACAGCGCAGGGUGCCAUACUUCCUAACGGGAAGGGCUUUGCGACGCGAGGAGCAAAGUACAGCAAGUGCCACAGAAAUUAUACCGCCAGGUCGGCUUGCCGACAGGUAAGGGUGAAAUCGUGAGGUAAGAGCUCACGCCUGGCCGGGGCGACCCGGCUUGUGGGUAAACCUUAUGGGCUGCAAGGCCAAAUAUACCGGCAUUUUUGUUGCGGAUUCGUCCGUGGCAAAUCAAGGGCGACCCGUCUGGCGCCGGUGGGUAGGCUGCUCGAGGCUGCCAGUGAUGGCAGUCCUAGAUAAAUGACAGUCGCCGUUCUUUGCCCGAGGGCAACGAGCGCUACAGGGUCCCGCUUAUGGGUUUGCCAACAAA
rnacentral:RNase_P_RNA from 1 species